UACAGAGGUCUCAAGCGUUGUUCGGAUUCAUUGGGCGUAAAGGGUGCGUAGGCGGUGUGUCAAGUCAGGCGUGAAAGCCCCGGGCUCAACCUGGGAACGGCGCUUGAGACUGGCACGCUCGAGUUCGGGAGAGGAUGGUGGAAUUCCCAGUGUAGAGGUGAAAUUCGUAGAUAUUGGGAAGAACACCGAUGGCGAAGGCAGCCAUCUGGACCGACACUGACGCUGAGGCGCGAAAGCGUGGGGAGCAAACAGG
rnacentral:rRNA from 1 species